UACGAAGGGGCUAGCGUUGCUCGGAAUCGCUGGGCGUAAAGCGCACGUAGGCGGCUUUUAAGUCAGAGGUGAAUCCUGGAGCUCAACUCCAGAACUGCCUUUGAUACUGGAGAGCUUGAGUCCGGGAGAGGUGAGUGGAACUGCGAGUGUAGAGGUGAAAUUCGUAGAUAUUCGCAAGAACACCAGUGGCGAAGGCGGCUCACUGGUCCGGUACUGACGCUGAGGUGCGAAGCGUGGGAGCAACAGGG
rnacentral:rRNA from 1 species